GAAAACAAAAGAAAAGAGUGUAAAAAUGAUGGUGGGGCUGGCCAUGUGAGAUGAAAGAAGAAAAGAAAUGAAGAGAAGUCGGUUAUGAAGAGGAAAGAAAGAAACAAAAGCCAAGCAAAAGAAAGGAAAGGAAAAAAGAAAGAAAAACCAUGGGAGAGGGAGAGAGAAGGAGUGAAAAAUUCUGCUCUUUUCUUGGCACGGUUUUGCUGCACUUUGAGGGAGGAAAAGAGAGUUUUUUGCUGCAAUUUUUGGAGGAAGAAAAAGCUGAAAAUUUUGAGGUUGUUGCUGCUGAAAUUGUGUGAAUUUGUUGCUGGAACUUUUUGGAGGUUUUUACUGCCAUUGAAGGACAACUUUGUGCAGAAAAAUUUGAGCUGUUUGCUGCCAAUUUGUGCAGAAAAAUUGGAGCUGUUUGUUGCCCUUUUGUGCAGAAAAAUUGGAGCUGUUUGCUGGUAGUUUGUGCAGGAAAAUUGGACAGCUUUGUGCUGCCAAAAUUGAGAAGUUUUGUUGCUGGAAAUUGAGCUGGAAAUCUGCUGAUUUUAGAGCAGAAAAUGGUAGCAAAAAGGGUGAGAAAAUGAGGCUUUUGGUGACCGGUUUUGAGAGGAAAGGAAGAGAGGAAGCCACGGUGGUGAAGAGAGGAAGACAUGGUGGUGAAGGGAGUGACGGUGGAAGAGAGAAAAAGAAAGAAAGAGAAAAGAAAAGAAAUAGAAAAUAAGUGGGCAUGAUCCAAUAGAAAAUAAGUGGGCAUGGCCCAAUAAGAAAUAAAAAUAAAUGGGCUUGGCCCAAAUAGGAAAAAUGAAGAAGCCCAUGGAGAGGACCCGAAGGUCAUAAAAAAAUGAAAAAGACCCAAUGGAAAGUUUGUCGUGGAGGCGUACCGAACGAAGUAUGUGACCGACAAAUAGGAAUAAUUAUAUACGCGUACGAAUUAAUAGUGAAGUAAUAUCCCACUAUUAUGAGGUGAGUAGGGGAUGUCAAUUUUAAAACUUUCGUAUAUAUAUACAUGUACGUAUAUUUUACGUGAAGUGCAAAAUUUAUGGAAAGCAUGCGUUGAUAGAAUUUUAA